GUGGAUUGAUGAGCUCCUGAGCCAAAGACAUCCCAGGUCUGAGCAAGGCAAGAGCUCCAUCCCUGUUGCGUCAGGCCGAAUGGAAGCCAACACUUGCCAUGAAGUAAGAAAAUUUGUUUCAUGCCAUGGAAUGUUGAUACUAAAUGGAAGGAGGGGAAGAAAAGAGCACACAUCUGCAUGUUGGAAAAGGAGCGGUUAGCUACCUUCUUGCAUGUGCUGGCUCUCUUUGAACACCUCCAUCGCCACCUAAGAGACAAUGUGGAGAGGUGCUUUGUCCACUGCAAUCUGUUCCUGCAUGGGAUGACACUUGGAUGACUGGAGCAUGCUGGAGCCAGGUGAAUGAUGCACAGGGCUUCCCAGGCUUGGAGCUGUUGCCAGCUGUUGGGCUGCUGCUCUUGGAUUCACAGAAUCAUAAUCACAGAAACACAGAAUGGCCAGGGUUGGAAGGGACCUCAAGGAUCAUGAAUCUCCAACCCCCUGCCACAUGCGGGGCCACCAAUCUCCCCAUCUCAUACCAGACCAGGCUGCCCAGGAUUCCUGUACCUGCACCUGCCUGGUUGCUCCUGAGCAGAGAUGUGCCUUGCUCAGGGAGCAGGUGAUGUCAGCUCAAGGCAAAGUACAACAGGGUGGAAACAACAAAAAAUGAGCUGAGAGAAUGUUGUACUCGCACAGGCAGAUCUCUUAACACUCCAGAAUUAGUGACAGGCUGAGACCUAUGCUGUGCAGGAAGGAUGCAGGAAGAGGCCAUCUGUGGAAGCAGUGGGACACUUGUCAUCCCAGCGAGGCAGCAAGACAGAAUCUUCUUCCAGCAAAAGCCAGCAAACAGACGGAGCUUGCUUCCAUCUGCCAACCUCAGUCUGAAUCAAGCAGAAAGAGACAGAAAUCCCAUAGGACAUCUCAUCUUCCUAGAAGCCAACAUAGAGAAAGCAAGCCUCAGUCCUGAGCAGAAGAUAAGGAGCAGAAUGACCUUGCAUCUUCCAUCCAUACACCUGAGGUUAACAGUCAAGGAACCUGAGGCCAGGGGAGAGAAAGUGUUCUGUGCAAGGAGUGGAAGAGAGCUAUCAGCAGCAGUGCCUUUCCCAGCACACCGCCAUCGGCCCGGUGAUGGAUGGAGCUCCUCCCGUGUCCCAGCAGGCAUGACAAUAACUGUCACCAACUGCAAGUAAAACUGAAGCAAUUAAUACUGAGGGCACAGCCAUCCUUCACUCACUCUCGUGCAGUUGGCUCCCCUGUAAACAGUAAGAAUUUUAAUUUCUUGCUUGGCUUAGGUUGGGCUUGGUUGUACGUAAGAUAAUCCUAGUGCAGAGCUGCAGGACCUCCUUGGGACAAAGCUUAACCACUGGGACACCCAGCCCUUAAGGGGAAGCUGGAGGCUUCUCCUGAGCUAUUCCUGCAACAAGCUGAAAACGUUGGUGUUAUUUAUGAUGUCUAGAUGGGGCGUGGAACUUCAUUUAUUGUCAUGCAAAAAAUACGCAUCAACAGGCUCGAUGCAAAUCCCCAGCACUCCAAUAGCUGCUCGAGGACCAGUGCACUUCAGCAAGCCUAAUCCAAAGGGGAACACGCUGUGAGGGAAGGGGACUGCAGCUUAGGAGCAAAGCUGGGAUAGGUGAGAUCAACCUGGAGCAAAAAGAACAGCGAGAGCCGUGCUGCCUGCACAAGGCUGGAUCCCUCUCCCCACCUAUUGUGUCGAGAACUAGAAGUCUAUCACCUCAGCCUAAUGGAGCAUCAUCAGCUCACCUCAAUGAGGCACUUAAUCGAAAGAGCAUUUAUACCACUUGGAUUGCCAGCCGCACUUUAUGACAGCUCUUUGCACAAGAGAUGUCAUUGUGCAUUUACUUCUUUGUUAGACUAGAUUGGAGUUAUCAGCGGUUGAGUAAACCCUGCCAUUCGCAGGAACACCCUGCAUACGUUUGCAGGACAGAGAGGAACAGAAGAGGAAAAAGGACGGGCUGAUAGAGGCAGGCGUGACUUGAACAACAAGGAGGAAAACAACAAAGCGCGACAAGAUUUUGAGGCGUACCGUCAGCUGAUGGCAACGCUCAGGGUGUGAAAAAUAAGUAAUUGACAGCAGUUAGCAUGCAGGACAGAGCAGAGUUCUUAACGCAGUGAGAUUUUCUGUGCAGCUCUCUGAUUUCGGUCCUUGUUCCUGCCCGUCGCUCAGGUAAC
rnacentral:lncRNA from 1 species